rnacentral:rRNA from 1 species
UACGUAGGCAGCAAGCGUUGUUCGGAGUUACUGGGCGUAAAGAGUGCGUAGGCGGUCGUUUAAGUUUGGUGUGAAAUCUCCCGGCUCAACUGGGAGGGUGCGCCGAAAACUGGACGGCUUGAGGAUGGGAGAGGCAUGCGGAAUUCCUGGUGUAGCGGUGAAAUGCGUAGAUAUCAGGAGGAACACCUGCGGUGUAGACAGCAUGCUGGACCAUUUCUGACGCUGAGGCACGAAAGCGUGGGUAGCAAACAGG